rnacentral:lncRNA from 1 species
UCACAGCUGUGAAUACCGCCCUGAGUUCGAUUUCUCUUGGCCAUCCGGAACGUUUUAAGUGGUAAGAAAACGCGGAUCCUGCGGACUUCGUAGUGAUUAGUCUUUGUGCCUAGAAAGAUUUUGGAUCACACUAUGGUUAUCAAAAAAAAAAAAAUGUGUGGAAAGACAAACGUAUGUUUCAAAGUGUCAUUUAUUUCCAUUUGAGAAAUAUACCAAUUUAAUUUCUAUAAUUUACCUUCAUUUUCUUGUAACUGAAAAUUAAAACUUAGCAUAAUUUUCUAUUUUUUAUUUCUUAAAAUUUAGUUACAAAUUUUAAAAUUGUGCUUAAGAUCUAUUUAUGAACUUUAUAAAAUUUUAUUUAAUUUCCAAGAAAAAAAAAUUUAAAUUUGAUUGCAGUCUAAAACCUCGACAAACCGGCGACGGUGUGUAAACAGUCGGAGCUGUGGUGAUGCAUGCCGAAAUUGGCUCAUCCGGAGCAGAGGUAUCUCACUCGCUUUCUCUCUUCUCUCGUUUCGUCUCACUGUUUACCUUUUCCGUGACUACUAAGCGUGAUUGUGAUUUUGAUCUCCUUAAUUUGAAUUUAUAGUUCUCUGGAUAGUCUCUGGUGAAGUGAAGUGUAUGGAGAGUUCUGAGGAAGAUUUUGAUGAUUCCGAUGAAUGGAGUUUCUAGUGGUAUGUGAGCUUCUUUGGGAUCAGAUUAGGAAUCAGAAUUCUCAUUUUGAGCAUUUUCAUUCCUUUUAGUAUCUCUCCUAAUCAUUUUUGGCAUCUAACCUUUUUCUGAAGGAUGGGAAGCUGGCCACGCUAAAAUACAAGCAGAUACAUUUAUCUUUUAUGUUACAUCCUUUCAACUGUGAACCACACUUAAGUCUUAUUAGCAGAGGCUUCAUUAGCUUGAAAGUUGAAAACCAAAUCAUAAUCAUGGUUUCCUUAAUUGAACCACCCAGGAAUUGGUAACUCAGUGCUGUUGUGGCAGGAUGUCACAAAUGUUCCCGUGCUACACUUGUAUAAUCAUUUUGGAGGCAAGAAAACAAAACUGCCUGAGAUGGUAGGCUCCUCUUAGAUCGAUUUAAUCGGACAGGAGCAGCUUCAACUUCCUGUAAACCAGAAAGCUCGUAACUUGCUUGCAGAUGUUGAAACCAAGUCGGUCUUUUCUUAUUUGAGCAGUCACAUCAGCGUGAAAUUACUGUGCUUAUUCACUUUAAGUUCAAUUGUGCUGUUUUACAGUAUGUCGUGUCCAAUCUUUUGCACCGGUGGUUGAAAUUUUUUGCUGACUGCCUGCUUGAAGGCAACCUCACAGAGGGAGCCAGCAACCACGAUAAAAAUAAUCGGUAUAACUAAGGCCA